rnacentral:tRNA from 1 species
GGUAGUAGCCCAGUGAUAGAGCACUUGCCUAGUAUGUAUGAGGCACUGAGUUCGAUCCUCAGCACCA